UAGUGGCGAACGGGUGAGUAACACGUGGGCAAUCUGCCCUUCACUCUGGGACAAGCCCUGGAAACGGGGUCUAAUACCGGAUAAUACUUUNUNCCGCAUGGGGGAAGGUUGAAAGCUCCGGCGGUGAAGGAUGAGCCCGCGGCCUAUCAGCUUGUUGGUGGGGUGAUGGCCUACCAAGGCGACGACGGGUAGCCGGCCUGAGAGGGCGACCGGCCACACUGGGACUGAGACACGGCCCAGACUCCUACGGGAGGCAGCAGUGGGGAAUAUUGCACAAUGGGCGAAAGCCUGAUGCAGCGACGCCGCGUGAGGGAUGACGGCCUUCGGGUUGUAAACCUCUUUCAGCAGGGAAGAAGCGAAAGUGACGGUACCUGCAGAAGAAGCGCCGGCUAACUACGUGCCAGCAGCCGCGGUAAUACGUAGGGCGCAAGCGUUGUCCGGAAUUAUUGGGCGUAAAGAGCUCGUAGGCGGCUUGUCACGUCGGAUGUGAAAGCCCGGGGCUUAACCCCGGGUCUGCAUUCGAUACGGGCAGGCUAGAGUGUGGUAGGGGAGAUCGGAAUUCCU
rnacentral:rRNA from 1 species